UCGACGAUGAAGCCUUCGGGUGGAUUAGUGGCCAACGGGUGAGUAACACGUGGGCAAUCUGCCCUGCACUCUGGGACAAGCCCUGGAAACGGGGUCUAAUACCGGAUAAUACUGUGCCCCUCAUGGGGGAUGGUUGAAAGCUCCGGCGGUGCAGGAUGAGCCCGCGGCCUAUCAGCUUGUUGGUGGGGUAAUGGCCUACCAAGGCGACGACGGGUAGCCGGCCUGAGAGGGCGACCGGCCACACUGGGACUGAGACACGGCCCAGACUCCUACGGGAGGCAGCAGUGGGGAAUAUUGCACAAUGGGCGAAAGCCUGAUGCAGCGACGCCGCGUGAGGGAUGACGGCCUUCGGGUUGUAAACCUCUUUCAGCAGGGAAGAAGCGAAAGUGACGGUACCUGCAGAAGAAGCGCCGGCUAACUACGUGCCAGCAGCCGCGGUAAUACGUAGGGCGCAAGCGUUGUCCGGAAUUAUUGGGCGUAAAGAGCUCGUAGGCGGUCUGUCACGUCGGGUGUGAAAGCCCGGGGCUUAACCCCGGGUCUGCAUUCGAUACGGGCAGACUAGAGUGUGGUAGGGGAGAUCGGAAUUCCUGGUGUAGCGGUGAAAUGCGCAGAUAUCAGGAGGAACACCGGUGGCGAAGGCGGAUCUCUGGGCCAUUACUGACGCUGAGGAGCGAAAGCGUGGGGAGCGAACAGGAU
rnacentral:rRNA from 1 species